rnacentral:rRNA from 1 species
UACGUAGGGUGCGAGCGUUAAUCGGAAUUACUGGGCGUAAAGCGUGCGCAGGCGGGCUUUUAAGCCAGACGUGAAAUCCCCGGGCUUAACCUGGGAAUGGCGUUUGGGACUGGGAGUCUGGAGUGCGGCAGAGGAGACUGGAAUUCCUGGUGUAGCAGUGAAAUGCGUAGAUAUCAGGAGGAACACCGAUGGCGAAGGCAGGUCUCUGGGCCACUACUGACGCUGAGAAGCGAAAGCAUGGGGAGCGAACAGG